UACGGAGGGGGCUAGCGUUGUUCGGAAUUACUGGGCGUAAAGCGCACGUAGGCGGCUUUGCAAGCUAGAGGUGAAAGCCCAGGGCUUAACCCUGGAAUUGCCUUUAAAACUGCAUCGCUAGAAUUGUGGAGAGGUAAGUGGAAUUCCGAGUGUAGAGGUGAAAUUCGUAGAUAUUCGGAAGAACACCAGUGGCGAAGGCGACUUACUGGACACAUAUUGACGCUGAGGUGCGAAAGCGUGGGGAGCAAACAGG
rnacentral:rRNA from 1 species